rnacentral:rRNA from 1 species
UACGGAGAGUGCAAACGUUGUUCGGAUUCACUGGGCGUAAAGGGCACGUAGGCGGCCAGGCAAAUCGAUCGUGGAAUACCGACGCUUACCGUCGGUGCGGCGGUCGAAAAUACCUGGCUUGAGGGCGUGAGGGGUCGCUGGAACUCCUGGUGGAGCGGUGAAAUGCGUAGAUAUCAGGAGGAACGCCGGAGGCGAAAGCGGGCGACUGGCGCGUUCCUGACGCUGAGGUGCGAAAGCUGGGGGAGCAAACAGG